rnacentral:rRNA from 1 species
CAAUCAAUAAAGGGCAUAUGGUGGAGACCUAGGGACCUAGAGCCGAUGAAGGGCGUGACAACCGACGAUAUGCCUCGGGGAGCAGGACGUAUGCACUGAUCCGAGGAUUCCCGAAUGGGGCAACCCAAUGCAUUCCUUCUUGAAUUCAUAGAGAAGAGAAAGACAACUUGGUGAACUGAAACAUCUUAGUAGCCAAAGGAAAAGAAAGCAAAAGCGAUUCCCAAAGUAGCGGCGAGCGGAAUGGGAACAGCCUAAAAGGACUUUGACAGCAAUGUAAAGACCAGGUCAUGGGACCAAACAGAUGGCAUUGUCUCACAUGAGAAACGAAACAGCUGAAACCUGUACCAUAGAUGGUGAAAGUCCAGUCGUUGUAUCACUAGUAACAAAAGCCGUUUGGCUCCCGAGUAGUAUGGGACACGUGAAAUCCCGUAUGAAUUUGCGAGGACCACCUCGUAAGGCUAAAUACUCCUAGGUCACCGAUAGCGAAUAGUACCGCGAGGGAAAGGUGAAAAGAACCCCUUUACGGGGAGUGAAAUAGAACAUGAAACCGUAUGCUUACAAUUUGUGGGAGGAUGUACACAUCUGACCGCAUGCCUGUUGAAGAAUGAGCUGGCGACUUAGAAGAAGUGGCAGGUUAAGAUUUUCCAUCGAAGCCAAAGCGAAAGCAUGUCUGAGAAGGGCUCUCGUCCCUUCUUCUAGACCCGAACCCAGGUGAUCUAACUAUGACCAGAAUGAAGCUUUGGUGAUACGAAGUGGAGGUUCGAACCGACCGAUGUUAAAAAAUCGACGGAUGAGUUGUGGUUAGGGGUGAAAUGCCAAUCGAACUUGGAGCUAGCUGGUUCUCCUCGAAAUGCGUUGAGGCGCAGCGGUUGAUUAUGGGCUUCCAGGGGGUAAAGCGCUGUCUCGGUGCGGGCUGCGAAAGCGGUACCAAUCUGUUGCAAACUCGGAAUACCUGGAAUGCUUUCAAUCAGCCAGUGAGACUGCGGGGGAUAAGCUCCGUAGUCAAAAGGGAAACAGCCCAGACCACCAGCUAAGGCUCCUAAAUAAAAGCUAAGUGGCAAAGGAGGUGAAAGUGCAGUGACAAUCAGGAGGUUUGCCUAGAAGCAGCCACCCUCUAAGGAGUGCGUAAUAGCUCACUGAUCAAGCGCUUUUGCGCCGAAAAUGACCGGAACUAAGCUUUUUGCCGAAGCUGUGGCUACAUCACACUGAUGAUGUAGGGUAGAGGAGCGUUCCGCCCAGGGGGAAGCCAAGCGCGUAAGCCGCGGUGGACAGGGCGGAAGUGAGAAUGUCAGCUUGAGUAACGUAAACAUUGGUGAGAAUCCAGUGCCCCGAAAACUCAAGGGUUCCUGCGCAAGGCUCGUCCGCGCAGGGUCAGUCAGGACCUAAGGUGAGGCCGAAAGGCGUAAUCGAUGGCAAGAAGGUUUAUAUUCCUUCACUAGUCUAGGCUUAGUCCUGAGGGACG